GAUGAACGCUGGCGGCGUGCUUAACACAUGCAAGUCGAACGAAGCAUUUAGGACAGAUUACUUCGGUUUGAAGUUCUUUAUGGCUGAGUGGCGGACGGGUGAGUAACGCGUGGGUAACCUGCCUUGUACUGGGGGAUAGCAGCUGGAAACGGCUGGUAAUACCGCAUAAGCGCACAAUGUUGCAUGACAUGGUGUGAAAAACUCCGGUGGUAUAAGAUGGACCCGCGUCUGAUUAGCUAGUUGGUGAGAUAACAGCCCACCAAGGCGACGAUCAGUAGCCGACCUGAGAGGGUGACCGGCCACAUUGGGACUGAGACACGGCCCAGACUCCUACGGGAGUCAGCAGUGGGGAAUAUUGCACAAUGGAGGAAACUCUGAUGCAGCGACGCCGCGUGAGUGAAGAAGUAAUUCGUUAUGUAAAGCUCUAUCAGCAGGGAAGAUAGUGACGGUACCUGACUAAGAAGCUCCGGCUAAAUACGUG
rnacentral:rRNA from 1 species